rnacentral:rRNA from 1 species
CCUGAGAAACCCGAAAGAUCGAAUGGGGAGAUUCAUCGUCAGCGAUACUGGUACGUGUGCGGUUCGCGAUGCCGGGGACUUCGGUCUCGUGGCACGCGUCCGCAUGUUUUUAUUGCCUGGUGUCGUCGGCGUGCACUUCUCCCCUAGUAGAACGUCGCGACCCGUUGGGUGUCGGUCUACGGCCCGGGUGGGUGCCUGUCUCGUGUGUGCUUCACGGCAUCACUGCGGGGCAGACCCCCGGUUGCCUGACCGUCUGCCCGGCGGUACUCGCAAGGUAUCUGGCCGCAAAUAUUCGAACUGCGUCCGGCCCGUCGCAAGCGAGGCAAGUGCUUCCCGAAUGUGCGGAUCUAAAGCCGUCAUCGGGCCUUGCCAGCUGUUGGUUGACGGUGUCCUGGGACUGGCUAAACCAAUUAUGAUACCGGUCAGCGACGCUACUGCUUUGGGUACUUUCAGG